rnacentral:lncRNA from 1 species
AUACUUUUUCUUCUUUCAUAACACAAUUUUUUAUUAGGGACAAUUGCUUAUAUAUUCCUGAAAAGUUUCUGACUUUUCGAUUUACCUAUUUUAAAAGACUGAUAUUGAAAAUAUCCUUUCUACGUUUCAACAUAUUUCUAAUAUACCCUAGAGUUAAAAUCUGUUAAUGAACUCUGUUAUCUCUGUAAAAUUAUUAUUUUGUCCUUUCAAAUAUAUCCUUCCACCAUCACUGUCAUUUUUAUUUGCCCUUAAAGUCAGGAGCACAAAAAGUAUUUUGACUUUUAAUUUUUUCCAGUAUACUCCUCUACCGUCAUCAACAUUUCUUAUUUGCCCUUAAGUUAAGGGCAAAAUUAUUAUUUUAAUUUUUUUUAACUGUGGUAGAUAUUUAACUAACGUUUAACUAAAGUUAACUUAACAGGAGAUAACUGCGAGGGUAUUUUGCAAUAACUGUGGAACAUAUAAGGGGUAUUUUAGAAAAAAAAAGAAGAAGAAUAAAUAGGAUAUUUUCAAACGCACGAGAGGUAUAUUGGGAAUUACCCCUUUUU